GUUGAAACACCAGUUCCUGUACGAUCAUUGAAGUUAAGCAAAGUUGAGCCUGGUCAGUACUUAGAUGGGUCGCCACUUGGGAACACCAAGUGGUGUA